ACAUGGGGACAAGAGCUUGGCUCAAAUAUGUGGCAUAAUAGCCUCAGAUGAGAAGCGCCAUGAAACUGCCUACACCAAGAUAGUGGAAAAGCUCUUUGAGAUUGAUCCCAAUGGAACUGUUUUGGCUUUUGCAGACAGGAUGAGGAAAAAAAUCACCAUGCCGGGCCUCUUGAUGUAUGAUGGCUGUGAUGACGACCUUUUUGAACACUUCUCAGCAGUUGCUCAGAGGCUUGGUGUGUAUACUGCCAAGGACUAUGUCGAUAUCUUAGAAUUCUUUGUGGAGAGAUGGAAUGUGGAAAAGCUAACUAGGCUUUCUAGUGAGGGGCGAAAAGCUCAGGAUUAUGUUUGUGGUUUAGCUAAAAGAUUGAGAAAGCUGGAGGAGAGAGCUCAAGAAAAGGCUCAGCAAGCACCCACCAUUCCUUUCAGUUGGAUCUUUGAUAGAGAAGUGAAACUCUGAGUGCAAAAUUGAAGAAAAAGACUUUGGUUCCUUUUAUUUUUAGUUAUCUUUUUUCCUCCACUUGGAAGAUAUUUGAGAUUUUUUUUUUAAAUUCUCUUUGGUCUAUAAUUGGAAAUAUUAAUUUUAUUUGCAAAAUUAAAUUUUAUAGUCUUUCAAAUUUCACUAUGUAUCACAUUUUGAAUAUAUACUAGACGUCAAAUGUGUGUGACUUACUACUUGUCGAGCUCAAAUUUUAUUGAAUUGAGAAGUCAUAAUUUUGAAGAUUAAUUUAGUGAUAAUUCAAUUCACUAAUUUUUUUUUUUGAUGUUUAUAGCAACCAAAAAAUUGUUUUUUUUUUUUUUGUGUUCUUAAAAAUAGAAAAUAGGGUGUUUUCAAAAAACACCUUUUAGUUCUUUUAAGUUGUUUUCACUUAUUUUGUAAAUUUUUUUUUAAAAAUAAUUAUACAAAUAUGAAGAAUGAUUAAAAAUAAAACCUUAUAUAUAAUUUUUUUAAAACAUAUAUAUAAUUUUUUUAAAACAUAUUUAAAAAUAUUUAAAACAUAUUAAAAACAUUUUAAAUUUCCAAGCACAUUUUGUUUUAUAAAAUAUUAAAAAAUAGUUUUCAAAAACUGUUUUUGAAAAUAAUUAUCAAAUGAACCCUUAAUUUCUUUUAAAUUGAUUUAAGAAAACAGUAUAUAUAUAUAUAUAUAUAUAUAAGUAAAACAUGAGAAAUGUUAAAUUCAUAAAUUUGAAGAUUAUUUUAUCCCCUUUAACUAAUUAAUUCUUAGAAAGAAAAAACUCAUUUAAACUUGCUUAGACUGACUUUUGAAAAACCAUUUUUUUUUUAUAAAAAAAUUCAAUAAAAGCUUGUAAAUUUGUUUGGCAAAUUUGGUCUAAAAAUUUUAUGAUUUUAAAAAAAGUUUAAUAUAAAAAGGUAAAAAAUAUUGCUUUUUAUAGAAGUUAUGUUUUAUCUAAUACAAAAAAAAAAAAAGUUUAAUAAAGCUUUUACAAUAUCAACAUCGUCAUUUUAAAAAACUUUGAUGAUGUUCUUUUAUAAACUAUUACAUAAAAUAAAAAUAUUUCUAAAAUAACAUUUUGAGUGAUUUUUUUUAUAUUUUUAAAAGUUUUUCAAACAUCUAAUUUUGUGAAGUGUUUUCAAAUAUUCAAAAGCACUUUUAACUUUAUUAAAACCACUCUAAAAUGAACUCUUGGAAUUAAAAUUGAUUUUGAGAGGAUUAGAAGUGUUUCAAUGAUGAUGGUAGCAAUGUUGUAUAUUCUAUAAAGUUUAUUUGAUGGUGAUUUUAGAGUGUUAGAAGCAUUUUUUAUUAUUUGAAAAUACUUACUUAUAGAAACUAGAUGUUUGACAAACUUAAAAAUGUUUAAAAAAAAUUAUUUUCUUAUGUUUAAUUUAUUAUGAAAAAUAUGAAAAAAAAAUCAAUUAAAAACUUAUGCCUUUCAAAUUGUUUUCUAGAGUAUUUAAGGAAUAAUUGAGAAUAAUGGAAAAUACUUUGAAAAGAAGAAAAAUAUUUUUAAGCAGUAGCAGUAGCAGAUUAGCAAUUAAAAAGAAGGAUUUUCCAGGACUGAGCUGAAUUCAGAGAAGAAAGUAUGCAUAGAAUUUGAUUAAAACGUCUAUGAACAAGCAAGAUGAGAGGUACAUCAUUACAGUACUAUCUCUGCUGUCUGUCAGCUAUCGACUCGGCUUUGUACAGUGGUGAUCCCUCCAUCUUGAGAUGAAAUCACCAACACUUCCAUUAGGCCUUCACAAGGGAGUUUGCACAUCCUAGUUGCUACUUAGUAUACUGAGUGAAUGACAGAUCCCUUGGGGGACCGAAUAAACUCCUUAGUAAUAAAGUCUAAGGCAUCUUAAUGAACUGAUGAAUGCUCCAAGGGAAAGACGUGUAUCCCAGUGAGCUUUGGCUUUAUCUAGACACUACUUGUUCUUAUGAGGGUUUUCUCCUCCACGUUGCUUUUCCAUAUGUCUAAAUCCACCCAAGGGGUCUUCUUCACUAGUUAAUGAGUUUACUUCAGUCUCAUUGAAUCCCAAGAACAUCCAUUUCUAUAUAUAAGGACUAUCUAUAUAUAUUUAGCAUCCAAGUCUCUCUUCCAGAGUACAAGUGAAGUCAGAAAAUGGUUCUCAAUUUGAAUCCCUUGCUUUCUCUUACUUUCCUGCAAAUGGGUUUUCAUUCAUCUCUCAAAUUCUCCAUGGUCCCCAUGCACCGCUCUGUGUCCAGGUGAGUGUGUUCUUCACUUACAGAAGUUUACGGAAUGUUCAUACCAUUUAGAAGAAAAUGACAAGUGCCUAUGUUCAUUGUUUCAUCCUAACCAGUGUCUAACCAGACGGAUCCAAAUUGUAAGUACCUAAUCUGAAUUUCUUCUGUUUAAUGUAGGGAGGUUAAGAAUACAAAGAAGACUUCUGGCUCUCCUCACAAGGUGCAAGUAACCCACUCAAUGCCACCGGCCCACCACACAAGAUUGAGAUUUUCAAAUCCAUGGAGAAUUGGGUUGAGGAGAACGUUUUAAUUCACCUGAAGCCAGUUGAGAAAUGUUGGCAACCUCAGGAUUUUCUGCCCGAUCCUGCUUCUGAUGGAUUUCAUGAGAGAGUUGAGGAGGUAAAGGAGAGGGCAAAGGGGAUCCCGGAUGGCUACUUUGUCAUUUUGGUUGGAGAUAUGAUCACUGAAGAAGCCCUUCCAACUUACCAAACACAGAUCAAUAUCACUGAUGGAAUUCGGGAUAAAACAGGGGCAAGCCCCAGCUCUUGGGCAACUUGGACAAGGGCAUGGACCGCUGAAGAGAACAGGCACGGUGACCUUCUUAGUAUCUCUAUCUGUCUGGAAGAGUAGACAUGAAACACAUCGAGAAGACGAUCCAGUAUUUGAUUGGGGCUGGAAUGGUGAGAUUCUUGCUGCAUACUUUUUUACUGUUUUAUCUCCAAAACCACAAUGUAGUGACUGCUUUUGGUAUCUCUAUCAGUCACAAUCUUCACUAGUUCUUGAACUCAAGUUCUUUUUCUCCAUCUUUUCAUAGGAUGGGCAGAUCGAAAACAAUCUGUACCUUUUAUUCAUCUAUACUUCAUUUCAAGAAAGGGCAACCUUCAUAUCCCAUGGCAACACUGCCAGGCUCACUAAGCAACAUGGGGACAAGAACUUGGCUCUAGUAUGUGGCAUAAUAGCCUCAGAUGAGAAGCACCAUGAAACUGCCUACACCAAGAUAGUGGAAAAUCUCUUUGAGAUUGAUCCCAAUGGAACUGUUUUGGCUUUUGCAGACAGCAUGAGGAAGAAAAUCACCAUGCCGGGCCUCUUGAUGUAUGAUGGCUGUGAUGACGACCUUUUUGAACACUUCUUAGCAGUUGCUCAGUGGCUUGGUGUGUAUGCUGCUAAGGACUAUGUUGAUAUCUUAGAAUUCUUUGUGGAGAGGUGGAGUGUGGAAAAGCUAACUGGGCUUUCU
rnacentral:lncRNA from 1 species